UGUACCCAAGCGCACGCGGAGCGCUCGGAGGAGCGCUUGCUUGUCGGAACACAUGGGCAGGCGGUCGGGCAUGAGUGCUGCUAUUGCCCCAUCGGAGGGCAUUUCCACUUGGAAUAAUCGGCACAUUUCCACGCGUGAAGCGGCGCGCCGGUAAGACUUUGGGAAACAUGCAUAUGUCUUUCUGUCCAGCGCCUCCAUGGACGCUCGGAUUGUUUUUCUGAAGAAGAUGAUGCAAAAUACAGACGGGAGCAAGCUAAGCUGUACUUUGCCGUCGCUGCUGAUCACGCUGCUGCUUAUAAUAUGUACAUUUCGAUUUAAUAUUUCUAAAUGAAGAUCGGAAUAUGCUUUCAGUUGUUGGAAGUAGGCUAUAUGCUCUAUACUCCAAACGAAGGGAGAUGCAGGUUUCAAGAUCAUUCAUUCUGAGGAAUGUACAAAAAACUCUAUUUUAAAAAUUAUAUAUAUUAAAAAAACGAUAAACAUGAUUUGCAGUGUUUAAAGGACGGCUGAGUUGAGACUGACGCGUUUUGUCGCAAACGCUUUUGCGAUUGCGUGGUUCCAGCCUUCUCCUCCCCCAGGACCUAAAUAUCAGCCACCCGCCCCUUGCCGCCAUCCCUGUGUCCCGCCACCCUGUUCACAUCAGCAGGACAGCGCCUCCGUGGGGCACCCUGCUGUUACGGUCAUCAGGGAUAGCAUGUCAUGGUAUAAAAAUAGGCCGACGUCGAGAGAGCACGGGGCUCCGGGCGCCGGUCCCACCGGCGCGUCAAUCUGGCAUCCGGGGGGGAACGACCUGACCCCUCCCUCCUCAGAGAGUGCAUCCCCGUCAGGUUAACAUCACGGCUUGCAGAUGGAGGCGGGGCAGAUCAGGACCCAUAUGGCAAGAGGCCCGCCCCCUGCCCAGUGGAUCACGCACGUUCACGCCGAAUCGAAGGUGUUAACAGGCCGAAAGCAGGUCAUGUCCUGAAGUCAAAGUUCACCGGAUUUGAAUGGGAGCAUCAAGGCUGCAUUCGAGCAGCUCGUAGGAGUCUGCAACAGGGAGGGUCCCACAUAACUGCAGGCUGACUCACACUAUCACUUUUCUCUCUCCCACAGGUGCUCAUGCACUUUCUGUCUCUCUUUCUGUCCGGAUCACAGGAAGCCCAUCCCUCGCCUUCCUGUACCCCCCUCCCCCCACCAGCUGCUUGACUAUCUGCCUGACUGCCUGUGCUGUCCCACCACCUUGUACUGCCCACUGCCUCCCAAAGGAGGAUAAACACUCCCGUGAGUUUCCUCUUCUCCCUGAGGGACCGUUUCCCUGUCACUGUCACCUCGAGCUCACUCUUACCUCGGGGACUCUGUAAAGUGCUUUGCGACGCUGCUCUUUGUUAAAAGUGCAAUCUGAAUAAAGUCGAAUUGAGUUGAAUCAGUCA